rnacentral:rRNA from 1 species
CGGGUGAGUAAUACAUCGGAACGUGUCUUCUAGUGGGGGAUAACUGCCCGAAAGGGCAGCUAAUACCGCAUGAGACCUGAGGGUGAAAGCGGGGGAUCGCAAGACCUCGCGCUGGAAGAGCGGCAGAUGUCCGAUUAGCUAGUUGGUGAGGUAAAGGCUCACCAAGGCGACGAUCGGUAGCCGGUCUGAGAGGACGACCAGCCACACUGGGACUGAGACACGGCCCAG